rnacentral:ncRNA from 2 species
AAAUGGAUGUUGGUGGCAAUAGAGAUAUUGCAUAAUAGGGAAUCAGGUUAAAAUCCUGAACAGUCCUGCUGCCGUGUUGACAGAGCGGCUUUCUGUGCGAAAAGCAGACCACUGAACGGUUUCGUUUGGGAAGGUGAAAGCUUGCGAUGACGUCUGAGUCGGAAUACCUGCCAGCAUUUCC